UACGGGGGGGGCAAGCGUUGUUCGGAAUUACUGGGCGUAAAGCGUGCGCAGGCGGUUUUGUAAGUCUGUUGUGAAAUCCCCGGGCUCAACCUGGGAAUGGCAAUGGAGACUGCAAGGCUAGAGUUUGGCAGAGGGGGGUAGAAUUCCACGUGUAGCAGUGAAAUGCGUAGAGAUGUGGAGGAACACCGAUGGCGAAGGCAGCCCCCUGGGUCAAAACUGACGCUCAUGCACGAAAGCGUGGGGAGCAAACAGG
rnacentral:rRNA from 1 species